AACACCAAACAGACAUAACUGGUCUUUGACCUCAUGGAACUUCUUUGACUUAGUCUUUCUUUUAAGGAAUCUGUUGAAGGAAAACAUAAGAAUGCCAUUGGUAUUUCUGAUGUCUAGGGAGUUUUCUUUAUCAUCCACUUUGGUGGUUUGGUUCACUGUAAAUCUGUGGACUACAGAUAUAAUAAUAAAAUAACUCUAAUGACUGGAUUUAAGACAUAAAAAUCAUUAAUUGCAUUAAUUAUUUUAAAAUAAUUUAAUACUUGGGAACACAUGGAGAAACAGCUGGGAAUUUUACAUCAAGUGUGAAUUUAAUCAUUCAUUUAUUUAUAUUUUAUUUUUGUAAAUGAGAGUUGCUUAGUUGCCUUAUCACUUUGACAUCAGUGCUGGGUUUUGCUAAUGUCGGCCUGUCAUCAUCAGUGAAGGUAUGCCAGUAGACAAACUCAAGGGCAAGACUUCCCCAGGUUUCUUGUCAGAGAACUGUUGGUUGUUUACAACGUUGCAGGUGGCUUUGAAAAAUCUCAGAAGCUAAAGAGAGAGAAUGGCAGGAAGAAAAGUAACAGAACUGGAAGGAUGGAAAAUAAGGGAGAAAAAUCUACAGACCUAGGGAAUUAUCUAGAAAAGUGAGGAGGGAGAAAUGAAAGGAAGCUGGGUUUAAAGGAUGAAAAGGCCAAAAUUGUUUUCAUCAUUUUGGGAAAGGAAAUUAUAUUCACAAAUGCUUAGGAAAAGGUGAUAGGAAAUAAAAAAUACAUAUUUAACCUAAUAAAGUUAGCUUUCUGACAUGUGUAAAUCCUUAAGAAAAAUCCUUAGAAAGUAUGAGUGUACGUAGCAUGUAGACAGUGGGAAAUACAAAUAAUUAUUUGUGAAGUAGGAGAUAAUAAUUUAUGUAUUUUAAUU
rnacentral:lncRNA from 1 species